AUUGAACGCUGGCGGCAGGCCUAACACAUGCAAGUCGAGCGAGAGGGGGACGGGUGAGAGAUGUCUGGGAAACUGCCUGCUGGAGGGGGAUAACUACUGGAAACGGUAGCUAAUAUCGCAUACCAUCAGAUGUGCCCAGAUGGGAUUAGCUAGUAGGUGGGGUAACGGCUCACCUAGGCGACGAUCCCUAGCUGGUCUGAGAGGAUGACCAGCCACACUGGAACUGAGACACGGUCCAGACUCCUACGGGAGGCAGCAGUGGGGAAUAUUGCACAAUGGGCGCAAGCCUGAUGCAGCCAUGCCGCGUGUAUGAAGAAGGCCUUCGGGUUGUAAAGCACUUUCAGCGAGGAGGCGUUACUCGCAGAAGAAGCACCGGCUAACUCCGUGCCAGCAGCCGCGGUAAUUC
rnacentral:rRNA from 1 species